AGAACCUGUGGCUACUUAGUGGAUUUUCUUUCCCUUCCCUUUUAUUUCCACUUCCUUUUCACUUUGCAGUGGUCCUGCUUGCAUGGGUUGCCUUUUUUUUUUGUGGCUUGGUGUGGCAUUGAGCUAAACUCUAGAGCAGACCUCUGUGGUGGCUUUAGGGUGCAAUAACGUCCUGAAUGAAUCAUUUUUGGAAGCAAGCAUGGUCCAUAUUAUUGGCUGUCUGGAGAGACUCUUGUAGUAACUGAGAGGACAGGAGACCAUAAGCUGUUCAGAGCCUUUAAAGUCAGUGCUGUUCCACAGCUGUGCACUGGAAUAUUUUGUGGUGGAGUACAGGGAUGUUCUUCCGAGGAGGGCUUGCUGGAAAUUUGAAGCCACGUGUGGCACGUUUUGCAAAGGGAGACCUGGAAGCAGAGGGCAGUUGUUUGUUGAUGGCUUUAAACCUCUCUGCUUGUUGUGCACAGGGGCAAAGACCCGGCUGUAGUUUGUAUUCUGCAGUGACAGAGACCAAGGGACUGAGUCUGUCUGAAAGUGCUGAAGAGCACAGAGCUCUACAAAUAAUACUGAUGUGUCUUCAUCCCCAGGUAAUUCACAAGAGAGCUGAAGUGCUAUUUAAAUACCUGAUAUUUUGGGAGGCUUAAUAACUAAUCUUACUGUUCUGCAGUUUUUGAGGUGUUUUGGGAGCUUUGAAAAUUGUUUCUCAACUUGUGUUGGAAGGGUCCUGGCUGAGCCUGCAAUCAUCUGUUCUCAGUAUUUCCCCACCUCUUCCAAAAACUGACACUUCCUCACCUGCCUUUGAAUCCCUCAUGGAGGAACCCAGUGGACUCCC
rnacentral:lncRNA from 1 species